ensembl:lncRNA
AAGUCAGAAGCCUUGAUAAACCACACCUCUUUGGCAUUAGUGUGGAUUGUCAGUAUAUGUUUUUCUAAUUUGCAUUAGAUGCUGUAUGUCACUUGAUAACAAAAAAAAUCAUUAAGUAUCUCAUCAUUUGUUUUAGAAAGAUGAACAGAAGUCUUUUGUGUUUAAAACAACAUGAGGAGUGUUGCACACUGUGACUCCGUGUUGCUUCAAGCGCAUCAUUCUACCCACGGCACCAACAGGAGGAGGUAUAGGUUGGAGCUUGGAGGAGGUUCCGGUGGAAGAAGGGCCCCCAGGAGGGGGCUGGCAGACAGAGAUGACAGAGGGAG